rnacentral:rRNA from 1 species
CAGUGCCGCGGGAAUACAGAGGGUGCGAGCGUUAAUCGGAUUUACUGGGCGUAAAGCGUGCGUAGGCGGCUUCUUAAGUCGGAUGUGAAAUCCCUGAGCUUAACUUAGGAAUUGCAUUCGAUACUGGGAAGCUAGAGUAUGGGAGAGGAUGGUAGAAUUCCAGGUGUAGCGGUGAAAUGCGUAGAGAUCUGGAGGAAUACCGAUGGCGAAGGCAGCCAUCUGGCCUAAUACUGACGCUGAGGUACGAAAGCAUGGGGAGCAAACAGGAUUAGAUACCCCAGUAGUCCCUGUCUCUUAUACA